rnacentral:lncRNA from 1 species
CUUACUGGUAGGAGUUUUUGUUGGCUUAGAACCCUCCGUCUCUUUUUCAUCUGUGUAUUUCAGUGCUCUUUUAGCUAGAGGCCUGGUGACUGGUCUAUCUGAAUUGCUCGUGGGAUUCUGAAUGUACUUGCAAGUGGGCAAAUAGAGGUCAUCGGAAUCAUCUCCUGAACCACUUGAUUCACAGAGGCUCACUUCAGACUCGUUGUUUUCUUCUCUAUUAGAGUCAUUGCUCACUUUUUGUCGGAAAGGAGUAAGAUGAACACCCUCUUCCAAAUUAAAAUUUAAACGUUCCUGGCUGAAUCAGCUUUGGUGAUAAGUUAACUUGGUCCUUGCUCCAUUGACAAGCAUUGUGUUGUACAUUUUCAGGGACUCCAGGAAGGCCGGGGGGAGGUGGGGCUGGCGGAAGUGGACGCGGCGACCCUCCUGCCGCAGGCGCGUCCAGAACGAUACCUUGGCCACUACUUCUGCAACAGCUAUCUUCCUCCUCCUCACAUUUCAAGGCUCUUCGAAGCUCUCCAGCCACGGCUAGCCCCGCGCACUGGGCCCUCCAGGACCGUACCACCGUCCGCCGUCGCCUGGAACUACCGCCGCCACAUUCGAAAUUUUCCGCCUCGCUCCUCCAUUGGUUGGCUGGGAGGCGGUCACGUGGCGCAGGAUGCACCCAACACCACCGUCGCAGGCAGAGUCCCGCCCCGCCAGGCGACGUCACGUGACGCACAUUCGCUCAAGUCCACAUCCGGGCAUCCACCUGGCCCUGGGGCGGAGCCUGCGGUCGGGUCUCGGCGACCCGCCGGGACUUUCUAAUCAGAGUCGUGGGGAUUUUACGGGUGGAGUUACUCCGAAACCUUUAAGGCCGAGUGUGAUAGGUAGUUCAAAGCUUCCUGUUUCUUCAGUCUGACAGCUUCAAAUGUCCCGGGUUGUGCUCAAAGCCUCCCUCUUGUGAGAAGAAUCUCUUUGGUUGCCUGUUAAAGCGGUCAGCCAGCUUGCAACACGGAAGCAGCUUUUAGAGGAAUUAAAACCAAAACAAGGAGCAAAUUCUGGAUUAAAAAGAUAUUUGCAACCAUUCUUCCAAUCAAUUUUAGAAAAUUUCCACCACCUCAAAAAGAAAUCCUGAUGAAGAAACAUCCUGAGAAGGUUGACAUGCUGAAUGCCUUAAAGAACUUCAAUUGGGAUGCCAGAUGAAAGUGUAACUAGAAUUUCUAUGGCUUAAAUAACGAGAGCUGGAGUGCAGUAGCAUGAUCAUGGCUCACUGCUGCCUCGACCUCCCGGGCUCAGAGAUUCUCUUGCCUCAGCCUCCUGAGUAGCUGGGACCACAGAGUUUCACUCUUGUUGCCCAGGCUGGAGUACAAUGGCAUGAUCUCGGCUCACUGAAACCUCUGCCUCCUGGGUUCAUUCAAGCGAUUCUCCUGCCUCAGCCUCCUGAGUAGCUGGGAUUACAGGCAUGCACCACCACGCCCGGCUAAUUUUGUAUUUUUAGUGGAGAUGGGGUUUCUCUAUGUUGGUGAGGCUAGUCUCGAACUCCUGACCUCAGGUGAUCCACCUGCCUUGGCCUCCCAAAGUGCUGGGAUUACAGGCAUGGGCUACUGCGCCUGGCCUGUAUCUCCAAUUCUUUACAUAUGCCUGACGAACUGCUAUUCCAUCUUGUAGGGCUAAAAUCAAAUUUUUUUUCAUUUUUGGGAAGCCUCCUCUACAUACCUCCACCUUCUAACUCCAAGAAGUCAAAAUGAAGUCUCACCAUAUUGAUCAGACUGGUCUUGAAGUCCUGGCUUCAAAUGAUCUUCCCUCCUCAGCCUCCCAAACUGCUGGGAUUAUAGAUCUUGCAGACAACAGAUCAUGGAACUUCUUGGCCUCCAUAAUCUCAUGAGCCAAUUUCUAUAUUCCAUAGGGGAAAGAAGGAGAGCUGAGAAUGCACAGAAAUUUUCAUGUGCCAAGUUUGGAAGUGCAAAAAGACCUUUAGGUGCGGGCCCUCUGUCUUGGACUUCUCAACCUCCAGAACAAUGGUGUCAGAAGCAGGAUCCCAAGCAGAGCUUCUAGUGACCUCCAGGAGCGCUGAGUGAACACUCGAGGUACCAGCACUCGAGGACCCACUUGUGUCCAUGGAUCUCUCAGAGCGGCUCCGGAUGGUAAAAAGCAAUUUGAAGGGGUGUUCUAUACUUUGGCAGAGGAAACCCAUUCCCUCUCAAGGAGAAGCAGUGGACACAGUCUCCGAAGUUGAGAGCCAUUUGAGAAUCAGUUGAGAAGUUUGAGAACCAGGUAUGUGGGGCUUUGGUAUCAGGAUGAUGCUGGCCUCAUAAAAUGAGUUCAGGAGGAUUCCCUCUUUUUCUAUUGAUUGGAAUAGUUUCAGAAGGAAUGGUACCAGCUCCUCCUUGUACCUCUGGUAGAAUUUGGCUGUGAAUCCAUCUGGUCCUGGACUUUUUUUGGUUGGGGGUCCUGAAACCAAUCCUUCGUGGAUACCCAGGGACAAUUCUAUCUGGCUGGAUUCUGGGAAGUGAACUUAUGGAAUCAAAGGUUAUGCAAACAUUUUUGAGACUUAGACUGGCUCUCCUUGCUCCUCAAGCUUGUAGACAGCCUAUUGUGGGACCUUGUGAUCAUACUUGAAACACUUGUACAUCAGCUCAGAGUGUGCAUUGUCCACUGCAAAUACUAGUGCAAAUUAAGAAGAAGAGAAAAAAGAAGGUCCACGAGCUACCAAUGACAUCUAGGACUGCUUCUGUCUCAUAGCACAUACUCCUCCCACAAGGACUACAAAUGACAAGAGAAAAUUUGUAUAAUUGGAAUUCUGGACAUUUCUCAAAUGCUCAUUGACUCAAAUACUUUCUGCUGUAUUUGGAAUUUUCAAACCAAAACAUGAUAGCAACCAGACCAGAAAAAUGUAAUUGACCAGAAAUGUCCUACAAUAUUUACAAUAUACUCAUUUUUCUGCAUGUUCAAUUUUAAAAGUUGGGUAUUCUGUACUGGAAUCUAAUGGGAUUUGACUAAUAAUCCUCACAAAAAUGAUGCCAGGAUGUUCUUCAGCUUUUGAUAGACUUUAAAAUACACAGGCAGCAUAAUCUUGAGCAAGAAAAGAGCUGACUUUCUGUACAGGAGAAAUAAAGAAUAGUGUAGCACUUGACAACC